rfam:Bursaphelenchus xylophilus, Ka4C1 (inbred line), WGS project CADV01000000 data, contig: scaffold01361
AUCGCUUCUCGGCCUUUUGGCUAAGAUCAAAGUGUAGUAUCUGUUCUUAUCGGGUUAAUCUCCGGUACGACUUCUAUUGAAGUCAUUCGAGAUUAACAGAUUUUUGGGACCAGCGGAGUUGUGAAGGCUUGCCUUCCGCUCGGCACGGGUCGGCCCGGUCUUGCACUGCUUCCGGGAACGGCUCAUAUAUU